UACAGGAGGUCCCAAGCGUUGUUCGGAUUCAUUGGGCGUAAAGGGUGCGUAGGCGGCGCGGUAAGUCGGGUGUGAAAUCUCGGGGCUUAACUCCGAAACUGCAUUCGAUACUGCCGUGCUUGAGGACUGGAGAGGAGACUGGAAUUUACGGUGUAGCGGUGAAAUGCGUAGAUAUCGUAAGGAAGACCAGUGGCGAAGGCGGGUCUCGUGGACAGUUCCUGACGCUGAGGCACGAAGGCCAGGGGAGCAAACGGG
rnacentral:rRNA from 1 species